rnacentral:rRNA from 1 species
UACAACAUAGCAUUAAUGCAUCGGAUCCCAUUAGAACUUUGCAAUUAAGCGCACUUGAGCUAGAGUAAUACUGGGAUGGGUGACCGCCCGAGAAGUCCUAGUGUUUUAC